rnacentral:rRNA from 1 species
ACGAACGCUGGCGGCGUGCCUAACACAUGCAAGUCGAGCGGUUCAAGCAGCAAUGUUUGGAUAGCGGCGGACGGGUGAGUAACGCGUGGGCAACCUACCUUCUACUGGGGGAUAACACCUGGAAACGGGUGCUAAUACCGUAUAUGACCACGCCGGGGCAUCCCGGAGGGGUGAAAGCGUUUAAAGCGGCAGGAGAUGAGUUCGCGUCCAAUUAGUUAGUUGGCGGGAUAAAGGCCCACCAAGACUUCGAUUGGUAGCCGGCUUGAGAGAGCGAACGGCCACACUGGAACUGAGACACGGUCCAGACUCCUACGGGAGGCAGCAGUGGGGAAUAUUGGGCAAUGGAGGAAACUCUUACCCAGCAAUGCCGCGUGAGUGAAUGAAGGUCUUCGGAUUGUAAAGCUCUUUAAUCGGGGACGAAGAAAUGACGGUACCCGAGGAAUAAGCCCCGGCUAACUAUGUGCCAGCAGCCGCGGUAAUACAUAGGGGGCGAGCGUUGUCCGGAAUGACUGGGCGUAAAGGGUGUGUAGGCGGUCUGACAAGUCGGAAGUGUAAUACCUUCGCUUAACGAAGGUGCUGCUUCCGAAACUGUGGGACUACGAGUGUCGGAGAGGAAAACGGAAUUCCUGAUGUAGCGGUGGAAUGCGUAGAUAUCAGGAGGAACACCGGAGGCGAAAGCGGUUUUCUGGACGACAACUGACGCUGAGGCACGAAAGCGUGGGGAGCAAACAGGAUUAGAUACCCUGGUAGUCCACGCUGUAAACGAUGGAUACUGGGUGUAGGGGGUAUCGACUCCCCCUGUACCGAAGCAAACGCAUUAAGUAUCCCGCCUGGGGAGUACGGCCGCAAGGUUGAAACUCAAAGGAAUUGACGGGGACCCGCACAAGCAGCGGAGCAUGUGGUUUAAUUCGAAGCAACACGAAGAACCUUACCAAGACUUGACAUCGUACGGCGACGUCGGAAACGACGUUUUCCCCGCAAGGGGACGUAUAGACAGGUGGUGCAUGGUUGUCGUCAGCCCGUGUCGUGAGAUGUUGGGUUAAGUCCCGCAACGAGCGCAACCCUUAUCGACAGUUGCCAAUAUUAAGUUAGGAACUCUGUCGAGACUGCCGCGGAUAACGCGGAGGAAGGUGAGGAUGACGUCAAAUCAUCAUGCCCCUUACGUCUUGGGCUACACACGUGCUACAAUGGCCGUUACAAAGGGCAGCGAAAUGGCAACAUGAAGCAAAUCCCAUAAAGACGGUCUCAGUUCAGAUUGCGGGCUGCAACUCGCCCGCAUAAAGACGGAGUUGCUAGUAAUCCCGAAUCAGAAUGUCGGGGUGAAUGCGUUCCCGGGUCUUGUACACACCGC